rnacentral:rRNA from 1 species
CGGUGUUUAACUGGCGUGAUGUGGGACGUCCUACCGGUGGGCUUAGCCUCGCGAGGGGCGGCCCAACUAAUAUCCCGUCGCGGUGCUCUUUACUGAGUGUCGAGUCGGGCCGGUACUUUUACUUUGAACAAAUUAGAGUGCUUAAAGCAGGCUAUCCUCGCCUGAAUACUGCGUGCAUGGAAUAAUGGAAUAGGACCUCGGUUCUAUUUUGUUGGUUUUCGGAACCCCGAGGUAAUGAUUAAUAGGGACAGAUGGGGGCAUUCGUAUUGCGACGUUAGAGGUGAAAUUCUUGGAUCGUCGCAAGACGGACAGAAGCGAAAGCAUUUGCCAAAAAUGUUUUCAUUAAUCAAGAACGAAAGUUAGAGGUUCGAAGGCGAUCAGAUACCGCCCUAGUUCUAACCAUAAACGAUGCCAGCUAGCGAUCCGCCGAAGUUCCUCCGAUGACUCGGCGGGCAGCUUCCGGGAAACCAAAGCUUUUGGGUUCCGGGGGAAGUAUGGUUGCAAAGCUGAAACUUAAAGGAAUUGACGGAAGGGCACCACCAGGAGUGGAGCCUGCGGCUUAAUUUGACUCAACACGGGAAACCUCACCAGGCCCAGACACCGGAAGGAUUGACAGAUUGAUAGCUCUUUCUUGAUUCGGUGGGUGGUGGUGCAUGGCCGUUCUUAGUUGGUGGAGCGAUUUGUCUGGUUAAUUCCGAUAACGAACGAGACUCUAGCCUGCUAAAUAGGCGUACCUUAUGGUAUCGCGAAGGCCCCCGGCUUCGGCCGGUGGGUUUUUACUACCAACGUACAAACAAAUCUUCUUAGAGGGACAGGCGG